UGGUGUCUUUCUGCAACGGUGAAAACGGGGGAGCGGAGCUGUGACUGGAGCAGACACCGGGAGGCACAGCGUGGCCUCGCUUUCCGCAGCCCCGGAGACCAGCAACAAUACUCAUGAAAGACGGGCUUACUGGGGGAAAAAAAGGCUCUCAAAUCAAAGGAAGAAACCAGGCCACCGACGUGGGACCUGUGACUUCAUUAUCUUUGUGAGAAUUCGCUGUGUAUCUCGCCAUCGAGACUCCAGGUUGAAGUUUGACCCCUACUCUGUUGUUUGAACACAAAUCUGGGCUACUUCAUUGAUAUUAGUUACCUGCUGUGCCUCCCAGUACCGGCUGACUUCCUUGCUGUGCUCU